GGGAGGGAAACCGAAGCAAAAGCCCACUUCCACAUACAUCCAGUGCCAACACGCACUACUAGAAUUAAUCACGCGAAAGGAAGAAGUUCCAUGGAUGAUCAUCCGAGGAAGGGGUAGUCGGUGUAGCCGACGACGGGGUCGGAGGUGUAGAAGGUCAUCCUAUCAUACUUGUUCAGCUCCGCGCCGACCUUGAACCUCUUGGGCAGGUCCGGGUUGGCGAGGAACAGCCGCCCGAAGGCCACCAGGUCGGUGUACCCCUCGGCCACCACCUUGCCCCCUUCCUCGCGGUCGUACCCGCCGUUGGCGAUGAAGGUCCCCUUGAACGCCUCCCGGUACGGCAGCAGCCGCUUCGGCACCACCCGCCGGCCGUCCACGAGGGCCAUCCUCGGCUCGAUCAUGUGCAGGUAGAGGACGCCGUGGUCGUUGAGCUUGGUGGACAUGUGCAGCGCGAGGGCAUGAGGGUCGGAGUCGUGGCAGUCCAUGAAGUCGGUGAAUGGGGAGAGGCGGAUGCCCACGCGGUCCCCACCAACCUCCUUCACGACGGCGUCCACU